GUCGAGAAUCUUUCACAAUGGGGGCAACCCUGAUGGAGCGACGCCGCGUGGAGGAUAAGGUCUUCGGAUUGUAAACUCCUGUCAUGCGUGAACAAGGUUGCUUGGUUAAUACCUGGGCAAAUUGAUGGUAACGCAAGAGGAAGAGACGGCUAACUCUGUGCCAGCAGCCGCGGUAAUACUGAGGUCUCAAGCGUUGUUCGGAAUCACUGGGCGUAAAGGGUGCGUAGGGGGCGUGGUAAGUCAGAUGUGAAAGCCCGGGGCUCAACCUCGGAACUGCAUCCGAUACUGCCAUGCUAGAGUACUGGAGAGGUGACUAGAAUUCUCGGUGUAGCAGUGAAAUGCGUAGAUAUCGAGAGGAAUACCAAAGGCGUAGGCAGGUCACUGGACAGUUACUGACACUGAGGCACGAAGGCCAGGGGAGCGAACGGGAUUAGAUACCCGAGUAGUCC
rnacentral:rRNA from 1 species